AUUGAACGCUAGCGGGAUGCCUUACACAUGCAAGUCGAACGGCGUGGCGAACGGGUGAGUAAGGUUACGGAACGUGCCCCGUCGCGGGGGAUAACUACGCGAACGCGUAGCUAUUACCGCAAACUAUUGGGACGGCCGAUACCGGAUUAGCUAGUGGGUGGGGUAAGGGUCCCCCAAGGCGACGAUCCGUAGCUGGUUUGAGAGGACGACCAGCCACACUGGGACUGAGACACGGCCCAGACUCCUACGUGAGGCAGCAGUGGGGAAUUUUGUACAAUGGGGGAAACCCUGAUCCAGCCAUCCCGCGUGUGCGAUGAAGGCCUUCGGGUUGUAAAGCACUUUUAGCAGGAAAGCGGUACCUGCAGAAUAAGCACCGGCUAACUACGUGCCAGCAGCCGCGGUAAUAC
rnacentral:rRNA from 1 species